CGUAGGGGGCAAGCGUUGUCCGGAUUUAUUGGGCGUAUAGAGCGUGUAGGCGGCCAGGUAGGUCGGUUGUGAAAACUCGAGGCUCAACCUCGAGAUGUCGACCGAAACCAUCUGGCUAGAGUCCGGAAGAGGAGAAUGGAAUUCCCGGUGUAGCGGUGAAAUGCGCAGAUAUCGGGAAGAACACCCGUGGCGAAGGCGGUUCUCUGGGACGGUACUGACGCUGAGACGCGAAAGCGUGGGGAGCGAACAGGAUUAGAUACCCUGGUAGUCCACGCCGUAAACGAUGGGAACUAGGUGUGGGCGGUGUCGACUCCGUCCGUGCCGAAGCUAACGCAUUAAGUUCCCCGCCUGGGGAGUACGGCCGCAAGGCUA
rnacentral:rRNA from 1 species